rnacentral:lncRNA from 1 species
ACAUUAGAACUCUUCUGGCAGAAGCCCCCUGGUGGCUGGAGUGAGAGUCUCUGAGGCUGGAGUGAGAGUCUCUUGGGCUGCCUGGAGGAGGAGGCACGGCACCUGAGCAGCUGCUGUGUUUGGAGUGUGGCUGGAAGGCAGAGACCUAGACGGGGGUAGGCCUCACACCUAGUGUCACUUAGUGUCCAGGCUGCCCUGUCGACAAGACAAUGCUCCAGUUCAUUUCCAAGGCUCUUGCCUUCUUCAGGAGGAAGACUGUUUCGGCUGCAGAGAGGGUACAGCAACUGAAGCUCUUGGAAGGUGGCAGCUGUUUAAAAACUGCAGGGAGUUGUGACAAGGUUCGGUAGCUUGAUUGAUGAUUUGAUUUAUGUCAGUAGUGAUGCUGUGACUGGAAGUGUACUUCUGAAAGUUGGUCAAAAAGUUACUGCAGUUGUGGAAGAAGAUAAAACAUCUCAUAGAUUGAAAGCAAUCAAAGUAAGAAUUGUAUGAGUUUGGGGACGUCUUUGUUCCUUGGGUGUGGGUACUAUUCAGCCUCUCUGAGAUGACAUGGUAUAGCGGAUGAAGAGUGGAAUUUGAAGUCUAACUUACUGGAUUGUAUGGGACAUUUGUUUUUGUCUUUGUAGUGGCUUCUGUUGAGAGAAAAGUAUAAAUUCCAUAUCUAUUUUUUCAGCAUUUAAAAAUGUUAUUAACAAUGAUAACUAUUAGAGUCUAUACUAUCCUGCAGCUUCCUUUUUUAAUACAAGUAACUGCCUUCUGCCUUUGCUGAAGUGCAAUUGCUAGGUGAAAAGACAGACAUUUUAGUCAUGAAAAAAUAGCUUUAUUGAAGUAUAAUUUACCCGUACACAAGAUCCUCAAAUUUUAAUAAUAUAGCUCAGUGACAUUUUUAGUAAAUUGACAGAGCUGUACAACCUUCAUCUCAGCCCAGAUAUUAACCAUUUUAAUGAAUACACUAAAAUGAUGCUUCGGCUUUAUUGUACUUAUUGACACCAUCAGGAGUAGGCUGCAAGACU